rnacentral:snRNA from 1 species
UUGUGGCAGCCAAGCGUU